UACGUAGGGUGCAAGCGUUAAUCGGAAUUACUGGGCGUAAAGCGUGCGCAGGCGGUUUUGUAAGUCUGACGUGAAAUCCCCGGGCUCAACCUGGGAAUUGCGUUGGAGACUGCAAGGCUUGAAUCUGGCAGAGGGGGGUAGAAUUCCACGUGUAGCAGUGAAAUGCGUAGAGAUGUGGAGGAACACCGAUGGCGAAGGCAGCCCCCUGGGUCAAGAUUGACGCUCAUGCACGAAAGCGUGGGGAGCAAACAGG
rnacentral:rRNA from 1 species